rnacentral:rRNA from 1 species
UAGUCCACGCCGUAAACGAUGAUCACUCGCUGUUGGCGAUACAUAGUCAGCGGCCAAGCGAAAGCAUUAAGUGAUCCACCUGGGGAGUACGUUCGCAAGAAUGAAACUCAAAGGAAUUGACGGGGGCCCGCACAAGCGGUGGAACAUGUGGUUUAAUUCGAUGAUACGCGAGGAACCUUACCUGGGCUUAAAUGUAGAAUGACUUUGCUCGAAAGAGCUUUUUCCUUCGGGACAUUUUACAAGGUGCUGCAUGGUUGUCGUCAGCUCGUGCCGUGAGGUGUCGGGUUAAGUCCCAUAACGAGCGCAACCCCUAUCGUUAGUUGCCAGCACGUAGUGGUGGGGACUCUAACGAAACUGCCGGUGUAAACCGNGAGGAAGGUGGGGAUGGACGUCAAAUCAGCACGGGCCCUUAUGUCCAGGGGCUACACACGUGUUACAAUGGCCAGUACAAAGGGGCAGCUA